rnacentral:rRNA from 1 species
AUUGAACGCUGGCGGCAGGCUUAACACAUGCAAGUCGAACGGUAACAUAAAGAAGCUUGCUUCUUUGAUGACGAGUGGCGGACGGGUGAGUAAUGCUUGGGAAUCUAGCUUAUGGAGGGGGAUAACUACGGGAAACUGUAGCUAAUACCGCGUAAUAUCGAAAGAUUAAAGUGUGGGACCUUCGGGCCACAUGCCAUAGGAUGAGCCCAAGUGGGAUUAGGUAGUUGGUGAGGUAAAGGCUCACCAAGCCGACGAUCUCUAGCUGGUCUGAGAGGAUGACCAGCCACACUGGGACUGAGACACGGCCCAGACUCCUACGGGAGGCAGCAGUGGGGAAUAUUGCGCAAUGGGGGCAACCCUGACGCAGCCAUGCCGCGUGAAUGAAGAAGGCCUUCGGGUUGUAAAGUUCUUUCGGUAGCGAGGAAGGCAUUUAGUUUAAUAAACUAGGUGAUUGACGUUAACUACAGAAGAAGCACCGGCUAACUCCGUGCCAGCAGCCGCGGUAAUACGGAGGGUGCGAGCGUUAAUCGGAAUAACUGGGCGUAAAGGGCACGCAGGCGGUGACUUAAGUGAGGUGUGAAAGCCCCGGGCUUAACCUGGGAAUUGCAUUUCAUACUGGGUCUCUAGAGUACUUUUGGGGAGGGGUAGAAUUCCACGUGUAGCGGUGAAAUGCGUAUAGAUGUGGAGGAAUACCGAAAGGCGAAAGGCUGCCGCGUGUGAAUGUACUGUCGCUCAUGUGGGAAAGGGGGGGUGAGCAACUUGAUUAUAUACCCCUGGUGGUCCUGGGUCGAUGUCCACUGUGUGAUAUCUGGUUUAUCUGACUGCGCGACUGGCUGGAAAAGAAAAAGAGACACAAAUGUUGUGCCUAAUUUAGGGGGGAGUAAUUUUGGUGGUGUUGUUUGAAUGUAGUGUGGGUGUGGUUUGCCCUGUGUAUCGUUGGUUUGUGUGUUUGUUUUUGUGUUUGUUGCUGGUGCUAGAUGCGAUUGUUGUGAGUGAUGGUAUGGUGUGUUGUUUUGAUGUGUGGCAUUGUUGGUGUUGUGCGUGUGUUAUUGUGUUGUGCUGCUUCUGCUCUGCUGUGUUA